rnacentral:tRNA from 1 species
GGGGGCGUAGCCCAGCUGGUUUAGAGCGCUGCAGUCACAUCGCAGAGGUCAUCAGUUCGAAUCUGAUCGCCCCCACCA